CCUACGGGAGGCAGCAGUGGGGAAUUUUGGACAAUGGGCGCAAGCCUGAUCCAGCCAUGCCGCGUGAGUGAAGAAGGCCUUCGGGUUGUAAAGCUCUUUCGGCAGGAACGAAAUGGUUCGUGUUAAUACCACGGACUGAUGACGGUACCUGAAGAAGAAGCACCGGCUAACUACGUGCCAGCAGCCGCGGUAAUACGUAGGGUGCAGGCGUUAAUCGGAAUUACUGGGCGUAAAGCGUGCGCAGGCGGUUUCUUAAGUCAGAUGUGAAAGCCCCGGGCUUAACCUGGGAACUGCGUUUGAAACUGGGAGACUUGAGUGUGGCAGAGGGGGGUGGAAUUCCACGUGUAGCAGUGAAAUGCGUAGAUAUGUGGAGGAACACCGAUGGCGAAGGCAGCCCCCUGGGUUAACACUGACGCUCAUGCACGAAAGCGUGGGGAGCAAACAGGAUUAGAUACCCUGGUAGUCCACGCCCUAAACUAUGUCAACUGGUUGUCGGGGGAUUGAUUCCCUUGGUAACGAAGCUAACGCGUGAAGUUGACCGCCUGGGGAGUACGGCCGCAAGGUUAAAACCUCAAAAGAGUAAGUAGCGNGNGAGAGCGACGACGACGACGACGGAGGAGGAG
rnacentral:rRNA from 1 species